rnacentral:lncRNA from 1 species
UGGGUUCCACUUACCUUUCUAUCAUCUUGCAGUAUGGAUGUCUCUUGACUGGUACCGUGUAGACUUUUGAGGGCACACAGGAGUCUGCAGAGAGAUACUGGGGACAUUGAGCAGCAGCAGUGGGGUUGGGAGGCAGAAAUGAGGACAGGAACAUUUACCUUGUGUUUCUCUCAGCUUCUCAGAUGACCAAGAUGGUGCUGCAGAUGGUGCUGAGGAUGGAGAACCCACCAAGCCCCGCUAGGAGCCACCUAGACUGGAUGCAGAGCAUGGCCCAUCAGAAACUCAAAAGAAUGCGACCUUUGUCUCUCACCCACCUGUGACCUGGAAGCUUUCUCCUGGCUGCGAGUUGUCCCACAUUUGCUUGGCGUUGCCCGGCCUUUUCCAGACUGAACCAAUGUUCAUCUUACAUGUGUUGAUUGAUGUCUCAUGUCUCCCUAAAACGUAUGACCACCUUGGCACAUGUCGUCAGGACAUCCUGAGGCUGUGUCACGGGUGUGCAUCUUCAACCUUGGAACAAUAAACUUUCUAAAUUAACU